CGGCGAAGGUCGGGCGAGCAGGGGCGGUAAGACGGAGGGGGCAGUCGGUGUGCGGAAGUAUUGGGCGGAAAGCGCGCGCAGGCGGCUUCUUAAGUCCAUCUUAAAAGUGCGGGGCUUAACCCCGUGAUGGGAUGGAAACUGGGAGGCUGGAGUAUCGGAGAGGAAAGUGGAAUUCCUAGUGUAGCGGUGAAAUGCGUAGAGAUUAGGAAGAACACCGGUGGCGAAGGCGACUUUCUGGACGACAACUGACGCUGAGGCGCGAAAGCGUGGGGAGCAAACAGGAUUAGAUAUCCUGGUAGUC
rnacentral:rRNA from 1 species